UGGGGAAUCUUGCACAAUGGACGAAAGUCUGAUGCAGCGACGCCGCGUGAGCGAUGAAGCCCUUCGGGGUGUAAAGCUCUUUCGACAGGAACGAUAAUGACGGUACCUGGAGAAGAAGCUGCGGCUAACUACGUGCCAGCAGCCGCGGUAAUACGUAGGCAGCAAGCGUUGUUCGGAAUUACUGGGCGUAAAGCGUGCGUAGGCGGUGCGACAAGUUCGGUGUGAAAUCUCCCGGCUCAACUGGGAGGGUGCGCCGAAAACUGUCGUGCUCGAGUGUGGGAGAGGUAAGCGGAAUUCCUGGUGUAGCGGUGAAAUGCGUAGAUAUCAGGAGGAACACCGGCGGUGUAGACGGCUUACUGGACCAUAACUGACGCUGAGGCACGAAAGUGUGGGUAGCAAA
rnacentral:rRNA from 1 species